UACGAAGGGAGCUAGCGUUGUUCGGAAUCACUGGGCGUAAAGCGCACGUAGGCGGAUGUGUCAGUCAGGGGUGAGAUCCCGGAGCUCAACUUCGGAACUGCCUUUGAUACAGCACGUCUUGAGUCCGAUAGAGGUGGGUGGAAUUCCUAGUGUAGAGGUGAAAUUCGUAGAUAUUAGGAAGAACACCGGUGGCGAAGGCGGCCCACUGGAUCGGUACUGACGCUGAGGCACGAAAGCGUGGGGAGCAAACAGG
rnacentral:rRNA from 1 species